GUAUAAAUGCACUUUUACAUGAUAUAAAUCAGCUGCCAUAUUCCAGAUUACAGCCAUACAAGAUGAGAGGUAUCCAGAUACUGUUGUUUAUAACCCUAGUGGUGACCGCGAUGUCACACCCAGGUGAUUCAUACGACUCUUGCGCCAGUAACGAAGGAAUAUGCAUGUUGAGCCUACCCUGUCCUGAACUUUACCAUCAUGAUCCAUAUCACUUGUGUUUUGCUGGACAAAUCUGUUGUCUUCCUGAUGGUACAAACCACACUUGCGCCAGACAUGAAGGAAAAUGCAUGUUGAGCCUACCCUGUCCUGAAUUUUACCGUUAUGAUCAAUAUCACUUGUGUUUUGCUGGACAAAUCUGUUGUCUUCCUGAUUUGCUAAUGAUUGGUUAAUAUUUGAAUGAGGACAGUUAUAGUAUAAACGACGAGGAAUUAUUGUUUUAAAUUAAUCAAAUAAAAAACUAAUUAGAUA